GGUAAACAAAAUUCCUACAAUGAGCAAAACAUUCAUAGAAUACUUGAAGUCUUAUUUUCUUGGCCAGAGACUAAUAAACAAUCCAACCAAAUUAACAACAAAACCUCCAGACAAAAAGGAGUUGAAAACUGAGAUCUGCAGGUAGUUAUUUUUUUCCUGAAGGCUGGGGGAAUGAAUGACUGAGUGUACACAAGAUGUUUUUCCCAAAAUAAG
rnacentral:lncRNA from 1 species